AAACCACUACCUCAUUUCUUCUUCUUCAUCUCCCCCACGCACAAACCCUAUCUCUUUCUAAUCUCUACUCUCCACCACACAUAAAACCCCAUAUGAUAUCUCAUUAGCCUCUUUUUUAGAUAACCUCAGUCCUUUUCUCCCCCUCUGCUUUCUUCUUUCUUUUUUCCUUGUUUUUAUUUCAAAGCAAAGAAAAUGGCUAUUCCUUGUCUUCCUCUUCUUGGUUCAGAAAAGCUGUCCAUGGAGGCAGGCCCAUUGUCUCCUCUCUCAUCACCACCCCAAGUUGUCCUCACCCAAGACGAGCUGAAAAAGAUUGCUGCUUACAAAGCCGUCGAGUUCGUCCAGUCCGGCAUGGUUCUUGGCCUCGGCACUGGCUCCACCGCCAAACACGCCGUCGACCGUAUUGCUGAUCUAUUGCGCAAAGGCAAAUUAAAGAACAUUAUUGGCAUACCCACUUCCAAAAAGACGCACCAACAAGCUUUGUCUCUCGGUAUUCCUUUAUCCGAUCUUGAUUCCCACCCCAUCGUCGAUCUAGCAAUCGACGGCGCAGAUGAAGUGGACUCCGAUCUCAAUUUGGUCAAGGGCCGAGGUGGGUCUUUACUCAGGGAGAAAAUGAUUGAAAGUGCUUGCAAAAAGUUUGUAGUUAUUGUAGAUGAGUCUAAAUUGGUAUCCCAUAUUGGAGCCAAUGGGGCGAUGCCAGUUGAGAUUGUGCCUUUCUGUUGGAAAUUCACGCAAGAAAGGCUUCAACAGUUGUUC
rnacentral:misc_RNA from 1 species